UAAUCUAAUCAGUGUAACGACAAGCUGAUGCAAUGCGGACCGAUUCUUGCUCAUGCUCAUCCACGCCUCGUAAGGGCUGAAGAGAUUAAUGUUCACUUACUUCGAUUCCUACCACCUCAGCGAAAGCUUCGGCUACAUACUCUGCGCUCAAUCAAGUCAUAAGUCAAAUUAUUAUCUUUGUGGGUAGUGUUAUAGUUUCAAAUUAUUAGAAGUUUCUCAUUGAAAUUCAUAAAAUAUACGGCAUCUCAGACAAAAUGAUCGGCUCCAGGGAUAAUCAAGCUUACCUAAAGGCCCAAGUCGGUAAUUCAGCGUAAUGAAGACUAUAUCGUCGGCGUCCGAAUCAAGAAGAUAGGCCGGACCGUAAAUAUUUGAUGAACCGAACAUGAAGGCACCUCCAUGAAUGAACACAAUUACGUCCAAGGAUGGAUUUGUAUUCGAUGCCGGUAGCUAAAAUCAGUUGAUGAAGAUGUGUGAAUAAGUAAAACUCAGCUUCUGUGAAUAUAAUUUACUCACCUCAGC